AACGAACGCUGGCGGCAUGCCUAACACAUGCAAGUCGAACGAGACCUUCGGGUCUAGUGGCGCACGGGUGCGUAACGCGUGGGAACCUGCCCUUAGGUUCGGAAUAACUCCCCGAAAGGGGUGCUAAUACCGGAUAAUGUCUUCGGACCAAAGAUUUAUCGCCUUUGGAUGGGCCCGCGUUGGAUUAGCUAGUUGGUAGGGUAAAAGCCUACCAAGGCGACGAUCCAUAGCUGGUCUGAGAGGAUGAUCAGCCACACUGGGACUGAGACACGGCCCAGACUCCUACGGGAGGCAGCAGUGGGGAAUAUUGGACAAUGGGCGAAAGCCUGAUCCAGCAAUGCCGCGUGAGUGAUGAAGGCCUUAGGGUUGUAAAGCUCUUUUACCCGGGAUGAUAAUGACAGUACCGGGAGAAUAAGCUCCGGCUAACUCGGU
rnacentral:rRNA from 1 species